rnacentral:rRNA from 1 species
UACGUAGGGUGCAAGCGUUAAUCGGAAUUACUGGGCGUAAAGCGUGCGCAGGCGGUGAUGUAAGGCAGUUGUGAAAUCCCCGGGCUUAACCUGGGAAUUGCGCUUGAAACUAGCGGGCUUGAGUGUGGCAGAGGGGGGUGGAAUUCCACGUGUAGCAGUGAAAUUCGUAGAUAUCGGGAGGAACACCGGUGGCGAAGGCGGCGACCGGGGUAGACACUGACGCUGAGGUGCGAAAGCGUGGGGAG